rnacentral:rRNA from 1 species
UAGGGAAUCUUCGGCAAUGGACGAAAGUCUGACCGAGCAACGCCGCGUGAGUGAAGAAGGUUUUCGGAUCGUAAAACUCUGUUGUUAGAGAAGAACAAGGACGUUAGUAACUGAACGUCCCCUGACGGUAUCUAACCAGAAAGCCACGGCUAACUACGUGCCAGCAGCCGCGGUAAUACGUAGGUGGCAAGCGUUGUCCGGAUUUAUUGGGCGUAAAGCGAGCGCAGGCGGUUUCUUAAGUCUGAUGUGAAAGCCCCCGGCUCAACCGGGGAGGGGCAUUGGAAACUGGGAGACUUGAGUGCAGAAGAGGAGAGUGGAAUUCCAUGUGUAGCGGUGAAAUGCGUAGAUAUAUGGAGGAACACCAGUGGCGAAGGCGGCUCUCUGGUCUGUAACUGACGCUGAGGCUCGAAAGCGUGGGGAGCAAACAGG